ACUAUUUUUUAUGCAAAGUUCUGUGUUUUUUAUAUCCUGUAAUACUCAAUCAGACGUUUUCUGUAAAUACUAUAUUAUUCACAGUGAUGUUAGAUUAUUCCAUGGUAUACGCGAGAAAGAAGACUGUCCUUUUUGUUUUUUCUGUUCUUUUCCUAUCACUGUUAGCAUCCAUAAGAUACCAAAGUAUUCCACAAAUAAUUGCCUUCGACGUGAGGCUAGAAGAGCACGGAGUCUUUAGGAAUUCAACUCAUUUACCAGCCUCUUAUCGGCCGAAAAUUUUAAUAUGGGCGAAACAGUACCAUAAAAUUGACUGGACAUUACCAGAUUUACCUGCUUUUCACGGUGGGUGUGACGUUUCAUGGGACAGAAAUGAAUACGCUACUAGUGAUGCUAUUUUAUUUUAUAUGAAAUCUUGUAGUAGUAGAGAUCUUCCAAAUGCUAGGAAAAGAAGCAGACAUCAAGCAUUUGUAUGGUGGGCUCACGAAUCACCAUGGACUGUUCUGCAUUAUUAUGGUCACAAAUUAGAAGAUUUUAAUAAUUAUUUUAAUUGGACAAUGACAUAUCGACGUGAUUCAGAUAUUCUGGCAUCGUUUGCUCCUACUCCAAGUAUGGACUAUUUGCUGUAUAGGUUUGACAGUAUUUGGAGAAAAUUCAUAACAAUUGAGUUUCAUGCUCAAUAGAAUGAAGGAAAGGUGAAAUGGUGAAUAAAAAACUACUAAAGCGUCCUGUAAUGUCAAAUACGUCAUUUGCGAUUCAAAAGAAAAAACUUUUAGAUAGCAAGUCACGAAUGAUUGCAUGGGUUGCUAGCGAUUGCGAUGUUACAGAGGGUGCAAGUGAAAGACUAAAAUUGGUUGAAAAACUGGAACGUUUAGGUAAUAUUCAUUUAGACAAGUUUGGAAAAUGUGCCAAUGCUGAAAUUCCUUACAACUACACAGUGUUAUUUCAGACUUUGAAGCCUUACAAAUUUUAUUUGGCUUUUGAAAAUUCCUAUCAUUGUAGGGAUUAUAUAACAGAAAAAGCUUUUUAUAAUGGUUUGGUUGCUGGUACAGUUCCAAUAGUCCAUGGGCCAACUAUUGAAGAUACAGAAAAAAUACUUCCUAAGGGUUCUUUCAUACAUAUCGAGAGUUUCAAGAAUUUGACAUCCCUUGCUGAAUAUUUGGUAUAUCUGGAUUCAAACGACACAGCUUAUUUAGAAUAUUUCAAAUGGUGGAAACUGCAUGGAACUCGCAUCAUACCCAGAUUUGGAUUUAAUUAUGGUUCUAGGCCUAUUAAUUACAAUAGAACGGAUCCAGAGGACUUCCAAACUGUUGCGCAGCACAAUGUUUGGACUUCUGCUAUUCAGGAUGACAUGAUGGAAAUAGAAAGAUUUGGGCUUUAUCAUUUGUGUAGAAAACUGUUGAAAAUGGAUCAUAUUAAGACUUCAAAAUCGAUUUUAAAUCUUAGUCAUUGGUGGUAUGGUACUGAAAAUGAAGAAUGUCUCAAAUAAGGCGGCGUUGUAUCACCUGAUUCCAAACCUUUGCAAUUCUGUCCAUGAAUUAUGCAUGUUGGAAAAAGGCGAUACAUGCAAUUGGCUUCGGUUUGAAAAUAUGAUUUAUGAGUCGGCAGAUAAACAAUUGUCGAAAUUAAAAGCAGAGGUAAUUUGUUAAACUACAUAGCUCGUACUAUCAUGCAAUACCCAUACAAUGCACUUUUCACCAUUUACCUUGAUCAUGCCAUGAAAUUAUUUUUAUUAGAAUUUAGGACUUGUGUAAUCCAUCACAAAUUGAGAUCUUGAAUUCUUUUUGUAGGUAUCUCGUAAAACUGUUAUACAAUCUACAGUGUUAAUAAUAUUUGUGUAGUAUUUGACUUUUUCUUUUGAUUUACAAUUUGUUGAAUUAUGAAAUUUUAUUCGGUACGAUGCAGGUCCGAUUGGACACAGAGUUUUCGGACAACAGUAGAAUAAACUUAAACUCACCUUGUGAUGGUCAAGUCUAUUUUCUCAAUUUGUGAUUUUGUAUCUUUUUUUCAUUCACUUGUUUUUAAAGAAUUUAUUUUCAAAUUACAGUUGAUCUUUCUUUUAGAAAAUAAAAUAGAAGCUUUUUCAGUAUGAUAUAAAUAAGUUCAAGGGUGUGCCCUGAUUGGUACUCCUAUACUUGUUCAGUAAAUGUUUUCAUUGUUUUGAUAUGUUACUAUUUUAUAAUGAGUUUACUUGUUUUUAGAGCGUAUUUGCUUGUUGGCAAUUUUCUAUCAAAUUAAAUGAACCCCAAAAGUUAUAUAUUUUCGAAUAUGUUACCACCUAGAUCUAAUUAGACUUGACCCAUUAGCCAUUAUGGUACUGAUUAUUUAUAUUUCUUUUAUUGACAGACACUUAUGAUAGCUCAUGAACUAGUACAACUUUACCUCGUUCAAUGAUUCGUUAAUUUCUCAUUUGAUUUACCUUUUUAACAUCACUGUGCUUCACUCUCAGCUUUAUAAUUGGUUGAUUUACCUUGAAAUGCAAGUUGUUUGUAUCAUUUUGGCAUUUGUUAGAAGCUUAGCGGAGACCUGAGAAAUCUUUUCAUGUACAAGACCUGUGGUACCACACAUCAAAUUUAAAACUCGUAGCAUUUUUUAUUUGAUUUUUCAGCUCAAGUAAUUUUAACCGUUUUUAUUUAUUCGCAUAGUUGUUUUGAUUCUCGUACCCCAAUUCCCCGACUUCGAGGCACGCCAUUAUUAUUUUAUGGCCUUCCUUUCGACGUAAUACUCUAAAAGUUGACGGAUAUAAAUUAGACCCAGACCCAUUGCAUCUGGCAUUUUAAUUCAAGCCCGUGAUUUAAUGACUAUUAGUUCAGAACUUUAGAUCAUGAUACAACUAUUCACUCCCAAAGCAAGUAAAAUUGCUAGCGACGACCGGCGUGCCAAGAGCUGGAAACAGUUAUCAAAUAUUUAUUGACUCGAGACUAGAUGCAAGCAGUUAUCCAGUAUAUGAAUAUUUAAUAUGAAGAAAUAAUAUUCACAAAUGUAUACCACUCAGAAUUACGACGUGACUUUUGCCGUUGUAUUGGUGCUGUUUGGCACGGUGAUUUUUAAAAUAGAAAAAUAUAUUCAAAAUGUCUUGUAAGGUUAGUUCUUCCCAGCCGUCGGUGUUAAGACUUCAUCUCAUUUUAAUAGAUGGCGAAACAUAUUCGCGUGAAAUAAAACUUUCAAGUAGUGGUAGACUUACUGAAAGAUAUUAGAACAUUCUAAUUUCACGUUCUCGACGUACAACAAUUUUCAACUAAUUUAUUUUUAUUGUACCAGUGUUAAUUGGAAUUAUAUCUUGUGUAUUGGAGUGUGCCAUUACAAUCAUUAAUUCAACAUAAAUACUGUCGUGUA